UUAGAGUUUGAUCCUGGCUCAGGACGAAUGCUGGCGGCGCGCCUAACACAUGCAAGUCGAACGGAGCUUAGAGAGCUUGCUUUUUAAGCUUAGUGGCGAACGGGUGAGUAACGCGUGAGUAACCUGCCCUAGAGUGGGGGACAACAGUUGGAAACGACUGCUAAUACCGCAUAAGCCCACGGUGCCGCAUGACACUGAGGGAAAAGGAUUUAUUCGCUUUAGGAUGGACUCGCGUCCAAUUAGCUAGUUGGUGAGGUAACGGCCCACCAAGGCGACGAUUGGUAGCCGGACUGAGAGGUUGAACGGCCACAUUGGGACUGAGACACGGCCCAGACUCCUACGGGAGGCAGCAGUGGGGGAUAUUGCACAAUGGGGGAAACCCUGAUGCAGCGACGCCGCGUGGAGGAAGAAGGUUUUCGGAUUGUAAACUCCUGUCGUUAGGGACGAUAAUGACGGUACCUAACAAGAAAGCACCGGCUAACUACGUGCCAGCAGCCGCGGUAAAACGUAGGGUGCAUGCGUUGUCCGGAAUUACUGGGUGUAAAGGGAGCGCAGGCGGGAAGACAAGUUGGAAGUGAAAAACCAUGGGCUCAACCCAUGAAUUGCUUUCAAAACUGUUUUUCUUUGAGUAGUGCAAGAGGUAGAUGGGAUUCCCGGUGUAGCGGUGAAAUGCGUAGAUCUCCGGAAAAACCCCUGUGGCGGUGGCGGUCUUCUGGGCGCCGCUUGGCGGUGGGGCUCGUAAAAGUGGGGAGCCCCCUUAAGGGGGGGCGCGGGGGUCGCGGGCGGGGGGGGGCGCCUUAAGGGUGUUGGAGGAUUGACCCCUUCAGUGCCGCAGUUAACACAAUAAGUAAUCCACCUGGGGAGUACGACCGCAAGGUUGAAACUCAAAGGAAUUGACGGGGGCCCGCACAAGCAGUGGAGUAUGUGGUUUAAUUCGACGCAACGCGAAGAACCUUACCAAGUCUUGACAUCCUGCGACGCACAUAGAAAUAUGUGUUUCCUUCGGGACGCAGAGACAGGUGGUGCAUGGUUGUCGUCAGCUCGUGUCGUGAGAUGUUGGGUUAAGUCCCGCAACGAGCGCAACCCUUAUGGUCAGUUACUACGCAAGAGGACUCUGGCCAGACUGCCGUUGACAAAACGAAGGAAGGUGGGGAUGACGUCAAAUCAUCAUGCCCUUUAUGACUUGGGCUACACACGUACUACAAUGGCGUUAAACAAAGAGAAGCAAGACCGCGAGGUGGAGCAAAACUCAGAAACAACGUCCCAGUUCGGACUGCAGGCUGCAACUCGCCUGCACGAAGUCGGAAUUGCUAGUAAUCGCAGAUCAGCACGCUGCGGUGAAUACGUUCCCGGGCCUUGCACUCACCGCCCGUCA
rnacentral:rRNA from 1 species